CCUACGGGAGGCAGCAGUGAGGAAUAUUGGUCAAUGGGCGCUAGCCUGAACCAGCCAAGUAGCGUGAAGGAUGACUGCCCUAUGGGUUGUAAACUUCUUUUAUAUGGGAAUAAAGUGCAGUAUGUAUACUGCUUUGCAUGUACCUUAUGAAUACGGAUCGGCUAACUCCGUGCCAGCAGCCGCGGUAAUACGGAGGAUUCGAGCGUUAUCCGGAUUUAUUGGGUUUAAAGGGAGCGUAGGCGGGUUGGUAAGUCAGUUGUGAAAGUUUGCGGCUCAACCGUAAAAUUGCAGUUGAUACUGGCAUCCUUGAGUACAGUAGAGGUAGGCGGAAUUCGUGGUGUAGCGGUGAAAUGCUUAGAUAUCACGAAGAACUCCGAUUGCGAAGGCAGCCUGCUGGACUGUAACUGACGCUGAUGCUCGAAAGUGUGGGUAGCAAACAGGAUUAGAUACCCGGGUAGUC
rnacentral:rRNA from 1 species